UCCCGAUUCUCCUUCCACUGGAAAAAUGCUCCGAAUGCUUAUAUUCCAAGCCCCAAGUUCGGGUGCCAGAUGCCAGGUGCCGCGGCCAGCGCGGGGAAGGAGGCAGGUGAGAGACUGAAGAAACAGGGAGACCAGUUGCUCAGGAGGCAAAAGGCAAUUUAUUGAAGGACUACAGAGUUUUUAUAAUGUUUCAAAAUGAAGAGCAGUACAAGUCACUUCAGGACACAUUCUUGUGCACACAGCAAAGUACCCUGACAGCACUGAACACAGGAGAGAAUGUCACGAGGCUGGUGGUAUGCACAUCAUCACCUCAACAAGGCCGAGGGAUCUCCAGAUGCUGGAGAGCUCACAGUGAGAAGCCUGCAGGACCAGCAUCCACAAAGCACAGAGGCAGAUAAAUAUCCCAUCAAUCAACUCUGAAGCCAUGCAAGCACCUCCCUUCCCUGGUAAGUGGUGGUGGUGUGGCAGGCUGUGGCCCAUCCAGGGGGCAAACCAGCAGCAGCUCCUGAGAUCCAUGCCAGGCUGGAAUUUAGGACCCUUGGAAGGCAAGCAAGCAUCACUUCUCCCUUGUAAGUGGUUGCGGUCUGGCAGAAUGCGACCUUUCCAGGGGGAGAACCAGCAGCAGCUCCUGAUAUCCACGCGAUGUGGGAACUUAGGACGCUGUGAAACCAAACGACCAGCCUGUCUCCCUACUAAGCAGUAGUGAAGCUACUGAUGCACGGCCUACAAUCAAAAAUCCCACUUCCCUACCCUUCUUCUCCUGUUACCCCCAAUUAGCAGAUGGGAACCAGAAAUCUGAGCAUCUCCUGGGAAGCAGACGAUAACAAAUAAGGGGGACUUCCUUCUCCUAUCUCUUUGAAGACAAAUAUUUUUAUUACUGUUUUGCUCUAUUCUGAUUAAUGGUAUUGCUAUAUUCAAUAUUCUGUUUUUAUAGGUACUACAAUGUUCUGUAUUUCAUCUCAUUUUGAUAUACCUGUUUGAAAGAACAACUAUUAUAAAGAUAAUAAAUUAUGCUGUGAUACCUAUUACUGUUAUCACAGUAACCUG